CCCACUUCUUCAAAGGUGCAUUGCACCUAUCCAGCACAAUAGUCGGAAUAAAGCCAUAGGGGUUAGCAUAAGCCUUUGAGCCAUUAAUGCCCCUAUCCAACAACUUGAUGAUGAAGGCAGCCCAAUUUAUUUUACUUCCACUUUCGAGUCACUCCAUAAGCACUAGAUCUAUGUAAUUGGCAAUGUGCCUUCUCUCUUGUCUAGGCAAUAAACACUUGUUGACAAAUUCAAACAGGACCUUGUGCUCAGGCCUCAUUUCACUUUUCUGCAUAGCCCUGGCUUCAU
rnacentral:lncRNA from 1 species